AUGAUGGUUGCGGGAGAGAACGCUUAACUAGCGUCACCGAAGGAGCAAAGCUUUGUUCAAACUCUCAGGUAAAAAAACCGUAACUGGACC
rnacentral:ncRNA from 2 species